AGAGCGAACGCUGGCGGCAGGCCUAACACAUGCAAGUCGAACGGACUCUUCGGAGUUAGUGGCGGACGGGUGAGUAACACGUGGGAACGUGCCUUUAGGUUCGGAAUAGCUCCUGGAAACGGGUGGUAAUGCCGAAUGUGCCCUUCGGGGGAAAGAUUUAUCGCCUUUAGAGCGGCCCGCGUCUGAUUAGCUAGUUGGUGAGGUAAAGGCUCACCAAGGCUACGAUCAGUAGCUGGUCUGAGAGGAUGACCAGCCACAUUGGGACUGAGACACGGCCCAAACUCCUACGGGAGGCAGCAGUGGGGAAUCUUGCGCAAUGGGCGAAAGCCUGACGCAGCCAUGCCGCGUGAAUGAUGAAGGUCUUGGGAUUGUAAAAUUCCUUCAGUAGGACGAUAAUGACGGUACCUACAGAAGAAGCCCGACUAACUCGCGCCAGCAGCCGC
rnacentral:rRNA from 1 species